CCUCAUGAGGCUAGUGCCUGAGAGUUUGUUUACCACCCAUCACAGUGGCUGGCAGAUGUUGGAUACUCAACAAAGAAGAGCUGAAUGAGAGGAUCACUGUCCCUAACCUCAAGAUCUAGGUGGGGAAACAAGCAGCUGACCCCAAUGAAGAGGAGACACAAGAAGGAGCUGAACAUCUGGUACUUUCUCUGAACUGCUAUGUGGGGCUCAGCCUGGGUUUUGUUCUUUGGAUGAAAUAUCUAUGGCAGCUACCUUCAGAGUCCAGAUGCAUUUGACAUAACGGAGGUCCUAGUCAGUGGCAUGAAUUAAGAAAAACAGUGUGACUGUCUCAGUAGAUGCAGGAGAAGGAUAGGACACAACACAACAUCCUACCAUCAGGGGCUCCUUUGAAGACAUCAGAAGAGACAGAUGGAAUGUCUACACGGCAGUGUGGAUGGCCCUUAAACAUAGUGCUGAAUGACAAACUCAGGAACAGUGUGAGCGCUUACAAUACAACACCACAGACAUGAAUGAAAAAGGUCUGUGCAUGCAAAACAGUACACAUUUU